GACGAACGCUGGCGGCGUGCUUAACACAUGCAAGUCGAACGGAAAGGCCCUGCUUUUGUGGGGUGCUCGAGUGGCGAACGGGUGAGUAACACGUGAGUAACCUGCCCUUGACUUUGGGAUAACUUCAGGAAACUGGGGCUAAUACCGGAUAGGAGCUCCUGCUGCAUGGUGGGGGUUGGAAAGUUUCGGCGGUUGGGGAUGGACUCGCGGCUUAUCAGCUUGUUGGUGGGGUAGUGGCUUACCAAGGCUUUGACGGGUAGCCGGCCUGAGAGGGUGACCGGCCACAUUGGGACUGAGAUACGGGCCAGACUCCUACGGGAGGCAGCAGUGGGGAAUAUUGCACAAUGGGCGGAAGCCUGCUGCAGCAACGCCGCGUUCGGGAUGACGGCCUUCGGGUUGUAAACCGCUUUCGCCUGUGACGAAGCGUGAGUGACGGUAAUGGGUAAAGAAGCACCGGCUAACUACGUG
rnacentral:rRNA from 1 species